GCCCACGUCUCUCCUCUGUCUUGUUAAGGAAAGCGGCGCUUCUGAUCAGAAAAACAACACAAGGAUCUCAGAGGCAGGACAGAGUGGGAUCCGAGGGACCGCGUGGUGUUUCUGGCCCCCUUCCCUCUCGAUGGCUGAUUAUUCAGAGUGUUCACACCCAGCAAAGGAGCAGGCUGCUCGUUCCCGACUGCAGCACGGCGUGCCGGGCCGCGGUGUUCUUUCUGGAUCACUGGUUUCCUCAGCAGCAGCGCUAACAGCCGCCCGGCAUGUCGGGCUCAAUGCAUCAGGUCUAAUCAGAUGUGGCAGCUGCUGAAACCCAAAUGCCUCCAUCCAACCAAAGCAUCUCAAUGCUGCCAGUGGUCUCUGGCUGAGCCGCCUCCAAUUCAAAUGCACGUGACAGGGUCCCUGGCUGCAACCCAGGUUGGAGAAUCCGGGAUUAGAAGGCUGAGGACUUCGGACAACCAAACCCAGCUGUCCCUGAUGAAGUUGCCUGGGCACACCAGAGUGUGGGAGAGUGGACGGCGCGGCCCCUCCUGCACUUGGAGCUGCUCUCAGAUCUUGGGCUGUGACCCCUGUGGGUGACACGAAGUUCAGUGAUUGUCCUCCUUCUGGACUGAGGGACAUCCAUCCACACGCGCCCCCUCCACAGCCCGAUCCCAUCACGUCCUGCUCGUCCAACAUGGGCCUUAGAUCCUGGGGUCUCUGCUGAGUGCCUCCCCUCUGAACGCCCGGCUGGCACUUUCACGGUGAAGCCAGCUGUCAUGGACACCGACGGCAGGUGGCCUUUCUGCGUUGUCUACCGGCUGAUCUUGAAAGUGAAAACGGACAUUGUCUGCCCUGUGGUGACCGUGUUGGGUGAUGGUCCUGGGGUCAGGCCCUGCAUGCACCUUCACCCAGGGAUGGCUUCUUAGCUGACAGCGGCUCUGCCAGGAACCACGAUCACCCUCCAGUUUGCUCUUUGUGCUGAAUUUUAUUGACAUGAAAUUCGCAUGACGCCAACUUUAUCGUUUUAAAGUGAAUGGUUAAACAGAAUGCGGCACUUUCACAGGGCGGCAUGACCCCCACCUCUGUCUGCCUUCAGAACAUUUUCAUCCCCCACGAAAGGAGGAAGCGCAGUCCCCAGGAACAGUUACUCCUCAUUUCCCCUCCCCAGCUCUGGCUUCCGCAACCACGAAUCUGCUUUCUGUCUCCGUGAAUUUGCCUCUUUCGGAUAUAUUUCACGUAAAUGGAGUCCCGUGAUAGAUGAGCUGUGUCUGCCUCUUGCGGGCAGCACAGUGUCUGGAAGGUUCUCCGUGCAGCCGCAGGGGUUGGCGCUUCCUUCCUCCCGAGGCUGACCCGGCCCCGUCGUACGGGGAGUCCACUGUGUGUCUGUCUUUUGGCUGCUGUGAGCCUGGGUGUGCCGCCUGCUCCAGCCCAUGUUUUCAGCUCUUUCAGGUGUGGAGGGAGGAGUGGAAUUGUGGGAUCAUAUUGUAACUUUAACUUUGGAAGGAUCUGCCAAAUUACCCCUCUAAUUUGUUUUCAAUUUUAUUCUUAUUUCCCUGUCACUUGUUCUUUCUUUUGACUGGUUAAAAAAAAUGGCAAAGGUCUUCAGCAAAACAAGAAGUGAGUUUCAAUUGAACCGUGAAUUAAAUAUGAUACACUCAAAAUCUGACCAAUAAUACAUUUUAAUUUUCCCCACACAUUUACGUCCACGUUAAUUUCAUGGAAAUCAAGAUGCUUUUGCCUCUGUUCUAAAGUAUUUAUUUUUUUUAAGACAGGUUCUUACUCUGUUGCCCAGGCUGGAGUGCAAUGGCGCGAUCUCAGCUCACUGCAGUCUUGACCUCCCAGGCUCAAGCAA
ensembl:lncRNA novel transcript